ensembl:misc_RNA Metazoa_SRP Metazoan signal recognition particle RNA
GCCAGGCACAGUGGCUCAUGCCUGUAAUCCCAACACUUUGGGAGGCUGAGGUAGGAGGAUCACUUGAGCCCAGGAGUUUGAAACUAGCCUGGGCAACACAGUGAGACCUCAUCUCUAUACAAACUUUAAAAAAAUAGCUGGGCAUGGCAGCACACACCUGUAGUCCUAGCUACUUGGGAGGGUGAGGUAGAAGGAUCGCUUGAGCCCAGAAGUUUGAGGCUGCAGUGAGCUACGGUCGUGUCACUGCACUCCAGCCUGGGCAACAAGGUGAGAUCCUGUCUCU